rnacentral:lncRNA from 1 species
GGCACCGCCCAGUCCGCAGCCCCGGCCCGGCCCCGGCGGAGGCCAGGGCUUGGUCGGCACAGUGGGACCAGUAGAGCGGAAGGUGGCCGGUAGGCGCCGGAGCUGUCCGAGGCCUUUCAGCCCGCCCCCGACUCUGGAAAGGCCGCGCCAUCUCGCGUCUGGCAGGCCAGGCGCUGGGCCAGCGUCCGCAGCGGGGUCCGGCCCUGCCCCAGCGGGCCUGGCCUCUCCGCCCCACCCCGGGGACAGCUGGGCAUUGCUCGCUGCUCGUGGCUGCGCCGACGGCCGCGGGGCACCGGGGACGUGCGUCUGGCGUUUCCUAGUCUGGGAGAGAGAUGUCGUUGAAACCAUUCACCUAUCCAUUGCCCGAAACAAGAUUUCUUCAUGCUGGCAGGCAUGUGUACAAAUUUAAAAUCCGGUAUGGCAACUUCAACAGGAAGUGAUUCGAGUAAUCCUUGGAAAUCUUGAUGAUUUACAUCCAUUUUCUACACACCACUUCACCAUCUUUCCAUGUAUCCUUUCUUUCCUACUCAUAAAAGAAAAGAUUCAAUGACUUUAUCUGUUGGGCAUUGCAUAAGUCAACAUUUAUGUGUAGGAGUGUGCAGAUCUUCAGCUGGAGUAGUACUACUUCAGUCUUUGCAGUUUGACAUUGGCUGAAGGUAUUCUGAACACCUUAGGUGUUGCCGUCACCAAGAACUGCUGUGACGAGAGUGUUUUGCAAUGUUUUCAUCCUAAAGGCUCUAUGUUCCAAAUUAGGUUUAGCCAGAGCAAAUAAAGGUGUACAUAAAGUGCCA